rnacentral:rRNA from 1 species
GGCUCAGGAUGAACGCUAGCGGCAGGCUUAACACAUGCAAGUCGAGGGGCAUCGGGAGUAGCAAUACUUGCCGGCGACCGGCGCAAGGGUGCGUGACGCGUGAGCAACAUGCCCGUAUCAGGGGGGAUAAUCCAUGGAAACGUGGUCUAAUACCCCAUAGUAAUUAUGUAAGGCAUCUUAUAUAAUUUAAAGCUUUGGUGGAUACGGAUUGGCUCGCGUGACAUUAGCUAGAUGGUAAGGUAACGGCUUACCAUGGCUACGAUGUCUAGGGGUUCUGAGAGGAAGGUCCCCCACACUGGAACUGAGACACGGUCCAGACUCCUACGGGAGGCAGCAGUGAGGAAUAUUGGACAAUGGAUGGAAAUCUGAUCCAGCCAUGCCGCGUGCAAGGAAGACGGCCCUAUGGGUUGUAAACUGCUUUUGUAUGGGAGCAAUAAGGGCUACGUGUAGUCCGAUGAGAGUACCAUACGAAUAAGCACCGGCUAACUCCGUGCCAGCCGCGGC